CCUACGGGGGGCAGCAGUGGGGAAUAUUGCACAAUGGGGGAAACUCUGAUGCAGCGACGCCGCGUGAGGGCAGAAGUAAUUCGUUAUGUAAAGCUGUAUCAGCAGGGAAGAAAAUGACGGUACCUGAGUAAGAAGCCCCGGCUAACUACGUGCCAGCAGCCGCGGUAAUACGGAGGGGGCAAGCGUUAUCCGGAUUUACUGGGUGUAAAGGGAGCGUAGACGGCAGUGCAAGUCUGGAGUGAAAGGCGGGGGCUCAACCCCCGGACUGCUCUGGAUACUGUACGGCUGGAGUACAGGAGAGGUAAGUGGAAUUCCUGGUGUAGCGGUGAAAUGCGUAGAUAUUAGGAAGAACACCAGUGGCGAAGGCAGCUUACUGGACUGUAACUGACGUUGAGGCUCGAAAGCGUGGGGAGCAAACAGGAUUAGAUACCCCAGUAGUC
rnacentral:rRNA from 1 species